rnacentral:lncRNA from 1 species
AAAAAAAAUCUUAUGAAUUUUUAAGAAAAGAUGCAUAUUUUCAUUUUGCAAUGGGCCCUGAAAAUUAAGUCAUCAGUCCUGGGCUUUGGAGAAGAAAAAAACAAAAAAGAAAAGAAAGAGAAAGAAAAAGAAAAGGAAUCUGAAUCCAGCCCUAGCAUGUUGUUGCAUAACAUUGGAAAAUGACUGAACCUCUCGGCCUCAUUUCCUUAUCUGCAAAAUGGGGAUGAAGAUGGCGUGUAGUACAUGCUCUGUGCAAGGUAUUGUCAUGGUCAUGCCAGUGGGCAAAGCCUGUUGUCCCUCUGUGUGUUUGUGGAUUAAAGCAGGAGGGCUUCCCCACAUUGCCCCCUAGGCCCAGUGGAGGAGGAACAGGGCCGCCAGAACUGCCUCUUUCCCCUCCUUACUCUGCCUACAUCGCUCUCUUUGCAGGCGCUGCACCUGGAGGGGGACCAGUCUUGGAUGCCUUUAGUGGUGCGUCCUGGCCUGGCACCAUUGCAUUAUUCUCAGUGAGAAAUGGCGGCCCUUGUUCCUGCCCAGUGGCAAAGGGAAAGAAGAGAGGUGGCCAUAUUAAAUAAUAGGAAAGGACAGACCUGGGUACAGGAGAAGGGGAGGCAUGGUGGAUGGGUCACAGGUGUUUGGCUUGAGCAACACAGGGGAGGGGGUGCCCGCUCUUGAGCUGGGGAGUGCAGGAGGAGAGGCUUUUAGGGAAGGGUACUGAGAUCAGCCUUAGAGGUUUGGGUAUCUGAGGGACCCCAGUGGACAGGUCAGUACACCUGCAGAGAUGGUUCUGAACUCAGGAGAGAGGCAAGGACAGCACACUUCUCUUUGGAAGUGAUCAGCACAGGGCUGUUCUCAAAACCAUGGCGGGGGCCCUGGCAGAGGAGUUGGGAAAAAGGGAGCAGGGAAUGCUCCUCCAUGGAAACUGACAUUUUUGAGGAAGAGGAGCCAAUGGCAAAGGGAAGGAGGACGGAGGAGAACCAGGAGGGUGGCCACAGAGGCGGAAGACCAGCGAGAGGGUGGCAAGAAGGAGGAAGGGAGUGAUUCGCAGAGGGGGAGAGGUCAAGCCAAGAAGGCAGACAGAUGCUCGCUGAAUGGAGAAGCAGCAGAGGCCCUGAGGGCAGCAGUGGCGUCCCCACCCCAGAUGCUGCAGGGCAGGCACAGGGAGGGGCAGUGUGGGCAGGUGGAUAAGGGCAAUGGCGGGGCUCACUUUGCUGGAGAGUUUGCAGGUGGAUGAGGGCAGUGGUGGGGCUCACCUUGCUGGAAGGCUUGCUUGUGAUGAUGUUUACAAUGGAAAGGAACCCAGCAUUUAAAUGCUAAUGGCAAGGAAAGACAGGGUGUUGACACUGGAGAGAGGACAGUGACAGACAAGGGAGAGGAAAGACCCAGGCCCCGCCAGGAGAAAAGAGGUGGGGGGUGCAGGGAGCUGACAGUGGAACAGGAGGGGAGGUCACCGGCAGAAAGUCAGGUAGGGGGAGAACAGAGAAGGUGUGGAUGGGACGAUCCCCAGGGAGACGGGGAGGAGGAUCCAGAGGGCCAGGUGACAAUAGAGAAGGUGUGUUUAUAGGGUAGUGAUCCUCAAGGGGGGAAUUUUUUCCCACAGCUCUCAGAGGCAGGAGUGGGAAGGGCCAAUAUUCAUUGAGCACCUGCUGCCUGCGAGGAGUCCUGGACAGUGACCUGUGACUUCUUGGAUGGUUGAGUCCUGGCGUCUGUGUGAGUUUCCUGGGGCCACCGUAAUAAACUACCCAGCUUCAACAGCAGAAAUGCCUCCUCUCCCAGUUCUGGAGGCCAGGACUCUGAAGUCAGGGUGUGGGCAGGGCUGCAUUUUCUCUGAAGGCUCUAAGGGAGGAUCCAUCCUGGCCUCUUCCAGCUCCUGGGACCCCGGGCAUUACUUGGCGGGGACAGCAUCACUGCAAUCUCUGCCUCAGCCCUCCCAUGCCUUCUUCCUGGCGUGUGCCUGCACGUCUCUAUCUUUUGUGUCCGCAUCUCCCCUUCUCAGAAGGACCCCAGUGAUUGGAUGUAAAGCCCACCCCAGUCCAGUCUGACCUGAUCUUAGCUAACUGCAAAGAUCCUAUUUCCAAAUGAGGUCACAUUCUGAGGCUUUAGGUAGACAUGAAUUUGGGGGGACACCCCAGUACAACAGCUAAGCUGGACAAGGAGGCGUGUGAAGACAAGGGGGUGAGAGGGAGACGUUUCAGGGAGCAAUGGCUGAGCUGUCCUAAUUAGGCCCAGGACCAAUGUCCUCUGUGGG